rnacentral:rRNA from 1 species
UACGGAGGGUGCGAGCGUUGUCCGGAAUCAUUGGGCGUAAAGAGCUCGUAGGCGGUCUGUUGCGUCGGCUGUGAAACCCGGGGCUCAACUCCGGGCCUGCAGCCGAUACGGGCAGACUAGAGUUCGGCAGGGGAGACUGGAAUUCCUGGUGUAGCGGUGAAAAUGCGUAGAUAUCGGGAGGAACACCAGUGGCGAAGGCGGCUUUCUGGCCCGUUCGUUGACGCUGAGGCGCGAAAGCUAGGGUAGCAAACGGG